rnacentral:rRNA from 1 species
AGAGAGAGACAUGCGCGCAUAUCAAUAAGCGGAGGAAAAGAAACUAACUAGGAUUCCCUCAGUAACGGCGAGUGAAGCGGGAAGAGCUCAAAUUUGAAAUCUUCAAGGUUCUACCUUGACGAAUUGUAGUUUAAAGAAGUGGUUUCUGUUGGAGUUUUGGUAAAAGUUCUUUGGAAUAGGACAUCAUAGAGGGUGAGAAUCCCGUAUUUGACCAUUAUUUCCAGCUUUGUGAUACACUUUCAAAGAGUCGGAUUGUUUGGGAAUGCAGUCCAAAAUGGGUGGUAAAUUUCAUCUAAAGCUAAAUAUUGGCGAGAGACCGAUAGCGAACAAGUACCGUGAGGGAAAGAUGAAAAGAACUUUGAAAAGAGAGUUAAACAGUACGUGAAAUUGUCAAAAGGGAAGCGUUUGACACCAGUGUUGUUUUCUCGAAAAUCAAUUAAAAAGAGUCAGGAUUUUGUGUUGUAUUGACCUUUAAUCAGCUUCUGCACUUCAAUUUUCUUGUCUUUUUUUAAUGCACUUUUCGUUUAACAAGUCAACAUCAGUUUCUUUUGUUGUAAAAGGGUCAUUGGAAGGUGGCUUUCUUUUCGGAGAAAGUGUUUAUAGCCUUUGGCCUCUGCAAUCGGAGAGAUUGAGGUCUGCAGCGUAGAUCCUUCGGGGUUAGAUACAUUUGUGCUAAGUUAUAGCCUUUCAUAGACAACUUGUUGACUAUGAUUAGUCAUUGUAGCUUACUCGCUUAUGCUAUUUUACCUACGCUUAGGAUGUUGAUGUGAUACUGCGAGCA